UGCUGCAGAGGGAGGUACAACAGGUGGGCUACUCCACCCUUCCUUAAUCUGUGCUUUGUGUGAUCAGGAAGGGGUUAAAUAGAAGAUGAACGAACUUAUCAUGCCACCAAUGCUACUGCUGAACCACAAUAUGAUUUUGAGAUAUAAAGUUUGGGGGGUGGUGAGUCGCGUCCAAGGGGAUUAGGCUUUAUGAUUCCACAGUCUGGACCUCAGCAAGGUUCGACUCCGAUAGCCAUAUAUUCUUCUUACCCCGCUGCUCCACACUGUGUUAUUUCUGAAGAAGUUGAGCUAGAAGUGGAUAGAUGGAUAUAUAGCUUGCAUUGGAGGAUCAGAAUUUUCACCUUGCUGCCCGUCAGGAUGCAAUCUUCUUCUACAACGCCAGCUUCAACAAUGCCUUAGUAGACAUGUUUGCAAGAAUGAAUCCCACCUUGGACCAUAGCCAGUUUCCCGUGGCGCCCACAUUACCUGUUUUUCCACCUUCUGAUCAAGAAGAUGAGAGUGAUGAGGAGGUCUAUCACGACGAAUGAUCUAAUUAAGGGAGUCCUCAGUUUUACAAUGUCUUUAUCUUUCGCAUAAGGACAUUGCUAUAUUCAUGUUUGGGGGUGUUUAUUUUGUUUGCAUGUGCAUAGUAGUUUGUUGCAUAGUAGGACAUUUAUUCAUUUAGGUUGUAUAUUUGCAUCUAGUUAAUAUUUACCCAUGUUUAUGUGCUAGUUUUGUUGCGUAUAUUGCAUUUAGGUUUAACUUGAGCAUGAUGAGAUAUGAAACCCUGUUGAUGGCAGAUGAAAAGAAUAUUGUGCAUUAAGUAAUAACUUGGAUGAAUCUAAUAAUGAUAACUAAGUUAGCUCAUGAAUAUUUUUUGUUUAUUUGGAAGCCCCGAGUUUAAUUCCACAUAUUCAAUAUGUUGAUCUAGUUGUGAG
rnacentral:lncRNA from 1 species